UCGGUCUUUCUGCCGCCAUCUUGGUUCCGCGUUCCCUGCACAAAAUGCCCGGCGAAGCCACAGAAACCGUCCCUGCUACAGAGCAGGAGUUGCCGCAGCCCCAGGCUGAGACAGGGUCUGGAACAGAAUCUGACAGUGAUGAAUCAGUACCAGAGCUUGAAGAACAGGAUUCCACCCAGGCAACCACACAACAAGCCCAGCUGGCGGCAGCAGCUGAAAUUGAUGAAGAACCAGUCAGUAAAGCAAAACAGAGUCGGAGUGAAAAGAAGAUGUCUACAAGAGCCCUGCUUCAGAUACUUACAUAGUUUUUGGGGAAGCCAAGAUCGAAGAUUUAUCCCAGCAAGCACAACUAGCAGCUGCUGAGAAAUUCAAAGUUCAAGGUGAAGCUGUCUCAAACAUUCAAGAAAACACACAGACUCCAACUGUACAAGAGGAGAGUGAAGAGGAAG
rnacentral:lncRNA from 1 species